rnacentral:rRNA from 1 species
GUGGGGAAUUUUGGACAAUGGGGGCAACCCUGAUCCAACCAUGCCGCGUGCGGGAAGAAGGCCUUCGGGUUGUAAACCGCUUUUGUCAGGGAAGAAAUCCUUUGGGUUAAUACCUCGGAGGGAUGACGGUACCUGAAGAAUAAGCACCGGCUAACUACGUGCCAGCAGCCGCGGUAAUACGUAGGGUGCGAGCGUUAAUCGGAAUUACUGGGCGUAAAGCGUGCGCAGGCGGUUUUGUAAGAUCGAUGUGAAAUCCCCGGGCUCAACCUGGGAACUGCAUUGGUGACUGCAAGGCUGGAGUGCGGCAGAGGGGGAUGGAAUUCCGCGUGUAGCAGUGAAAUGCGUAGAUAUGCGGAGGAACACCGAUGGCGAAGGCAAUCCCCUGGGCCUGCACUGACGCUCAUGCACGAAAGCGUGGGGAGCAAACAGGAUUAGAAACCCGUGUAGUCC